UAGGGAAUUUUCCACAAUGAACGAAAGUUUGAUGGAGCGACACAGCGUGCAGGAUGAAGGUCUUCGGAUCGUAAACUGCUGUUAUAAGGGAAGAAAAACUUUAGUAGGUAAUGACUAGAACUUGACGGUACCUUAUCAGAAAGCGACGGCUAACUAUGUGCCAGCAGCCGCGGUAAUACAUAGGUCGCAAGCGUUAUCCGGAAUUAUUGGGCGUAAAGAGUUCGUAGGUGGUCUUGUCAGUCUGAAGUUAAAGCCCGGGGCUCAACCCCGGCCCGCUUUGGAUACUGCAAGACUAGAGUAUUAGAGAGGUUAGUGGAACUCCAUGUGAAGCGGUGGAAUGCGUAGAUAUAUGGAAGAACACCAAUGGCGAAGGCAACUAACUGGCUAAUAACUGACACUGAGGAACGAAAGCGUGGGUAGCAAACAGGUUAGAUACCCUGGUAGUCCACGCUGUAAACGAUGAUCACUAGACGGUAGA
rnacentral:rRNA from 1 species